UAUUUUUUUCAUAAUCUUGUGCAGUAUUUGAGCUUUAAUGGAAGAUUGAAUAGUCUUAAAGAAGAUGGGGUUGUAAACUGUAAAGUAAAAGCAAGGAUAUUUGAUAGGGUUCGGUUAUAUUCAUAGUUGAAUCAAUUAGGGUUCUUCAAAAAAAAAUUAACGCCGAGUUCUUUUCCUUGGUUUUAUAAUCCAAAAUAUUUUCCACUCCGUAUAUCAAUUUAAUGGUUGUAUCGUCCUUCGAUUCACUUCUGUUGUCGUCUUUGUUGUUCUCUUUCUUGUUCUGUU